rnacentral:other from 15 species
UGCUCCCUGUGGUGUGCGUGAGUCGGUUAUGUCCCUGUGCCGAUAUUUACAAACUCAGGGUGAAUGUUUUGAUGACAUUGCGCAAGCUCGGCGCGAACCGAGAAGCCUUAGGAUUUGAUCAUUUACCCGCCUUGAACCUACGGUUCAAGGGCUACACCGGUAACGGCAUCUUGGGGAGCAA